rnacentral:rRNA from 1 species
GUAGGUGGCAAGCGUUGUCCGGAAUUAUUGGGCGUAAAGCGCGCGCAGGCGGUUCUUUAAGUCUGAUGUGAAAGCCCACGGCUCAACCGUGGAGGGUCAUUGGAAACUGGAGAACUUGAGUACAGAAGAGGAAAGCGGAAUUCCACGUGUAGCGGUGAAAUGCGUAGAGAUGUGGAGGAACACCAGUGGCGAAGGCGGCUUUCUGGUCUGUAACUGACGCUGAGGCGCGAAAGCGUGGGGGAGCAAACAGGAUUAGAUACCCUGGUAGUCCACGCCGUAAACGAUGAGUGCUAAGUGUUAGGGGGUUUCCGCCCCUUAGUGCUGCAGCUAACGCAUUAAGCACUCCCGCCUGGGGAGUACGGCCGCAAGGCUG